UGCUUGCGAAGUGAGCGCCUCCCGUUCUGUCGCGAGAAAGGGGUGGCGCGGCGGCCCAGAUGCAAAGCCCAGACGGCGACCUGGACGGCGGUGCCCCGUCCGCGGCCUCCUCCUCUUCCACCCCUUCGCCAAUGGCGCUGGGAGCGGUCGGAGAGGGCAAUGGCCGUGGCCGAGCCCCGGAUGGGGUCUCGAGCUUGAACCCUCGGCGGCCCCAGGAGCUGCUGGAGGAGGUGGAGAAAUUGCGGGAGGAGAAUGACGCCCUCAAGAAUGAGAUAGAUGAGCUGAGGACUGAGAUGGAUGAGAUGAGGGACAGCUUUUUUGAAGAGGAUGCAUGCCAACUACAGGAAAUGCGCCAUGAAUUGGAGAGGGCUAACAAAAAUUGUAGAAUUCUACAGUAUCGUCUUCGGAAGGCAGAGCGCAAAAGGCUUCGUUAUGCACAAACUGGAGAGAUUGAUGGAGAACUUCUUCGUAGUUUGGAGCAGGACUUGAAGGUUGCAAAAGAUGUUUCUGUGAGACUUCACCAUGAGUUGGAAAAUGUGGAAGAAAAACGCACCACCACAGAAGAUGAAAAUGAAAAGUUACGACAGCAAUUAAUAGAAGUAGAAAUUACAAAGCAGGCUCUACAAAAUGAACUUGACAAAAUGAAAGAGCAGUCCAUGAAAAGAAGAGGAAGCAAAGACUUGCAGAAAUCAGAAAAAAAGACACAGCAGACUCCCACUGAGGAGGAUAAUGAAGAUCUGAAAUGCCAGCUGCAGUUUGUCAAAGAGGAAGCGGCCCUAAUGAGGAAAAAGUUGGCCAAAAUAGACAAGGAAAAGGAUAGAUUUGAACAUGACCUGCAGAAGUAUAGGUCAUUAUAUGGUGACUUAGAUAGUCCCUUACCAAAAGGGGAAGCUGGAGGCCCACCCACCACAAGAGAAGCAGAACUCAAACUUCGUCUGAGAUUAGUAGAGGAAGAAGCCAAUAUCCUGGGGAGGAAAAUAGUGGAACUGGAAGUAGAAAACAGAGGGCUGAAGGCAGAACUUGAUGACUUAAGAGGAGACGAUUUCUCAGGGGCAGCCAAUCCCCUAAUGGGGGAGCAGAAUGAAUCUCUCUCAGAGUUACGACAGCAUCUGCAGCUAGUUGAGGAUGAAACUGAACUCUUGAGAAGAAACCUGGCUGAUGUAGAAGAGCAAAAUAAGCGCAUCACAGCAGAGCUGAACAAAUAUAAAUACAAGACUGGGACCCAUGAUACUUCAAGGCAUCAUGACAAUGCCAAGACUGAGGCGUUGCAAGAAGAGCUCAAAGCCGCCCGCCUGCAGAUCAAUGAACUCAGUGGCAAAGUUAUGCAACUUCAGUAUGAGAACAGAGUCCUGAUGUCCAACAUGCAGCGCUAUGAUCUGGCCUCACAUCUGGGAAUCCGAGGCAGCCCCAGGGAUAGUGAUGCUGAAAGUGAUACAGGGAAAAAAGAAAGCGAUGAUGAUUCGCGUCCUCCCCACCGCAAAAGAGAAGGGCCUAUUGGUGGGGAAAGUGACUCAGAGGAGGUCCGCAAUAUCCGCUGCUUGACCCCUACGAGAUCCUUCUAUCCAACAACACCUGCAGGGUGGCAAAAAAGCUUCACGGACCGUCAGCAAAUGAAGGAUAUUCGCUGUGAGGCAGAACGCUUGGGCAAGACGAUAGACCGCCUGAUUUCAGACACAAGCACUAUCAUAACUGAAGCAAGAAUUUAUGUGGCCAACGGGGACCUGUUUAGACUUAUGGAUGAUGAGGAUGAUGGCAGUAGAAUACGGGAGCACGAACUUCUUUAUCGGAUCAAUGCCCAGAUGAAGGCCUUUAGGAAAGAGCUCCAAGCUUUUAUUGACAGACUAGAAAUUCCAAAGUCUUCAGAUGAUCGAAGUACAGAUGAACCUUUGUCAGUGAGUCAGAUAAAAAGUGCAAGAGCUGUAGUUUCUGUAGCAAUCGCUGCUGUAAAAACACUGAAGACUAUUUGUUUGAAAGCAAUGGGAACAACCCUUACAUUCCAAAAUGUGGAUCAUAAAAGAAGUGAAAACCAAAAAUCCCCACCACCGAAUCUGAAUUCUGCUUAUGAGGAAAGACCCUGUCUUUUCCAGAACUGGAAGCCCCAUGCCUUUCCUACUACUUUAUGUUUGGGUUGAAAUGUUUCUGAAGGGAUUCUUCACAUACUUAAAGUGUUACCAGAAGGCGAAGGAGAGUAAUAGAUGAAUAUCGUUUGAAAAUAAGGCUGUGCAUAUAGCAAGGCCCAGCAGCAGUCUGCAUAUUUCAGCUUCAGUGUGAUGUGCCUUACCAGGUCAGAAUCACUGUUCACCAGGAAUAUAAAGUUUUAGGGAAGGGGAGGGGAGGGGAGCAAGGCCACAAAAAAUGAAGGAAAUCCAUGUGAAGGAAAGCUCAUCCUUUGAGAGUUGCAAAAUAUCCAGAAGGUCUCAGAAGUGAGGAUAUUGUGAGUGAAUGGGUGUUUCACUGAUGGUAAUCCAAGAGUCAACCUGUAACCUAUUAUAUAUCGGUGAUCACAUUUGCAUUGGAGGUUCCUAAACUGGCUAAAUGGGAAUGGUGCAUCUUGGCCAGCAUGACCAGCAGAUGCUUGCUUUCUAUAUGGGCUUCCGGAUUGCUAUCAGUGCCACCUGCUAUGAGAAGAAUAACUCUGAAGGAACUCCCUUGAACUUUUGCUGAGGGAUCUCAGUGAAGCUGGGUUUAGUGAUUUUGUGAAAGCUUCAUACUAGCAGUGGUAAACCUUUCUUUUCCAUGGCCACAACCAAUUCUGUGCUGGACCAUAAUCAGUUCACUUUUUGACAUGCUGGAGAAAUGAUGUUGAUUCUUAGAUCAGCCUUCCAGUCUUCAGUGUUUUUAUCAAUGAGAGAAGGACACCCCUCCCAUCACGCAUAUAUAUAGAUAUUUAUAGCUCAUGGCAAAUUUUCCUUUAAAUGACAUGCUAAGGUUCGUCUCCUCCAUCCAUUUUUUUAAAAAUUAAAUAAUGUAUAAUUCUGUAUAUUCUGAUUUUUCCCACAAACAGCAGGAAGAAAUGCUGUGUGCAUGAUCAUGUGUUCAUAGGUGCAUGUGUUGGAAUAGGAAGUAUUACUAGUCUGUAUUUAGACGAGACAAACUUAGUACUAGUAUUGAUGCUGAAAUUAGACAUGCCUAUAUGCAGGCAUACACAUAUACAAACAAAAACUUUUGUGGUUUACUUUCUUUGAAAAUAUGUAGCUCUGGCAACAGAUAAUUCCAAAAUACCUUUUACAGGUUUCACAGGUCCACUAUUUGAUAUAAAAGAAUGAACAUAGGCAUUUUUCUAACUGCAACAACAGGGAAAAGGCAUUCACAUAAUAUGUACUACUUAGCUCAGUGGAUUGGUUUCUCAUUUGUGCUUAAUGCUCUUUUCCUCUUCUUUACAAUGCUAGGUCAAAGUGAGCUGUGCAUAUUUUUCUGACUUCACUAAUCUACUAUUUAUAACUGCACUUGCCUUUUUCAGUGCACAGACAUUUGUUAAAAUGAUCACCUCUCUUAUCAUUCUGCCACUCACGGUAAUCCAGCUUAGAGACUGGACUUCAGUGGAAUUACUGUCCAGCAACACUGUUAAACAGAGGAGAAAGAACCAGACCCUCAUCUGUACAACAUCCUAGGGCAUAAAUAAAGCUUUUAAGAAAAUGCAGGCCUUCUGGUAACACUUACCUUGUGUCAUGCCAUGUUAGCGUCCCUGCCAAGUGUAUUUAGUGAUAUGGAGAUGCUCAUUGAGAGCACGCAUUGUAACAAAGUCCAGAUGUGAAAGAAGAUGAACCAUGUGACAUGGGGUGGGAUGGGAUAGGAAUUUGAUAGACGGAUGCUAUUUUGUAGGGACUGUUUCAUUGGUCCUGUGAAGUUUUUUUUCUGUGUUUAAACUGUUUUUAAAACAACCUCCUUAAAGUACUGUCUUUUAAAAUGGUGCCCAAGAAAUAUAUGGUGACUUACCCUUACCUGGUGAUGUCCAGGUGUGCGUGUUAAUUUCU